AGCGCACGUUAGCAUUGACCACUGUCUUUCUUCUCUCUCUGGAGUUAGUUUGUUUUUAACACACGCCCUGAUUCGAUUUCUCUCACCCACCCAAAAAGCCACUCACUCUCUCUGAAGCGAUGUCAUCGUCGUCGACGUUUCGAGCUCCGGCGGGAGCCGCUACCGUCUUUUCGACGGAUCAGAAGAUUAGACUCGGGAGGCUCGUCGCUUUGAGAUCCUCUCAUUCCGUUUUCUUAGGAAGAUAUGGACGCCGCGCCGCGGCGUUUCUUCUCCUCCAUCCGCUUCUUCGCCUAUCAAAGCCGUCUCCACGUGUAGAUGAUUUGUGGGAAUAUGAGAGAUUGAUGUAGCUAUAAUAGUGAGAAAGAUUCUGUGUUGUUCAUGUUUGAUUUACGUUUUUAUUCCGCCUGCGAAGACUGAGACUGCGACCAAGCGGAGCAAAGUCGGAAAUGAUCAUCAGGGAACAUUGUAGCUCGUGUCUCCUGAAAUUCAGAGCUCUCUCAUCCAUUAAGUCCAUCAUAUCAUCUUGCAAAUUCUGUGUCAUAAUUCAUAAUGAAAACAAUAUCUAGGAAAGAAAAGACAAAAGAGCCAGAAAUAAAUUUACGGCCCAAUCGUUUGUUUUUAAAUGAUAGCCCAAUAAAGGUUUUUUUCUUUUUCUUUUAAAAAGUAUUAUAAAUACCUUCUUCAGAACUAAUUUUAACCCCAAAAACUGUAAGGUUUCUUUAUCAAGGAUUAUUGCCGCCUCUCGCUCUUCUCAACUUCUCCAACCAUGAACGAAUACGCCUUCGAGGGUCCGAAACUGCAGCCUAACUUCAGGGACAUGGGUAGGGUUAUUGUUUCGGGAUAUGACACUAGCUAUAGCCUUCCUCUUGAAGUUGCCAAGAGAGCGUUGGAAAAGCAUUUCUCUUCAUGUGGAGAGAUCACGGAUGUGGCCUUUGACGACCGUUUUGCUUAUGUAUAUUUUGUGGGAGAAGCCGCAGUCGAUAAGGCAUUGCAACUUUUUAAUGGUAGUGAAUUGGAUGGUUGGAAGCUCACUGUUGAGCCUUUUCCGUUUCCCAAUGCAAAAGAUAAGAUUAUCGUAAGUGUUGAAGGAUUUGACACUUGCCUUAGUCAAGAUGAUCUCGAGAGCGCUUUAACUCCUCUGUUCUCCAUAUGAAAUCGAAAUCCUGUUAGGGCUCUGCUAUAGCUGCUAUGUACGGAAAAAACAUUGCAGAUAAGGCGUCUGAACUAAAUGGGUUCUACAUGGGAGAACGCAAAUUAGCUGUUCGUUUGCUUUCUUUACCGAGAAUAAGCCCUGUUCACUCACUCCCCCUCCUCAAGGGGACAACUCUUGCUCUCCUAGAUGCCCAUCACUCUGCCAGUGCUGCAGCCAUUCCACAAAGCAGUGAAAGCUUCAAGACCCCAGAUAAACCUGUUGAGGAGAAAAGGAAGUCAAGUGAGGAGGAACAGCAAACACCUGACCGAGAUGAGCUCUUUGUUGACGAUUUACGCAUGGGCGACCCCAACGGCAAGAAAGUAUGCUCAUUUAGGUCCUAACUUGCCUACAUGAUUACUGCAAUGACAUAGAAAUUAUUCAACAAGGUGGCAGUAAUAUGUGGGUAUUUUAAAAACUGACAUUGUAUAAUAGGAAGGGAACAAACCAAAUGUCUAUACGAGACCUAGUUAAUUAUAGCCCCGGAACUAUUAUGUUGUGGUGAAUACUAAACAAUAUCGUCUUUGUGGGAUUGGGUCUAUUAAAGUUUGAGUAAUUAAAUCUUUGUUUUUUGGAUCA